rnacentral:rRNA from 1 species
GACGUAGGGUGCGAGCGUUGUCCGGAAUUAUUGGGCGUAAAGAGCUCGUAGGCGGUGUGUCGCGUCGGCCGUGAAAACCUGCAGCUUAACUGUGGGCUUGCGGUCGAUACGGGCAUCACUGGAGUUCGGCAGGGGAGACUGGAAUUCCUGGUGUAGCGGUGAAAUGCGCAGAUAUCAGGAGGAACACCGGUGGCGAAGGCGGGUCCCUGGACGAUACCUGACGCUGAGGCGCGAAAGCUAGGGGAGCAAACAGG